UGGGCUCGAAAUGUAGGGGACUGCAGCAGAAAUGAUGCAUCCCGAAAGGGUCCCUAUAUAGGUGCUGCAUGGCUGUCGUCAGCUCGUGCCGUGAGGUGUUUGGUUAAGUCCAGCAACGAGCGCAACCCUUAUCGUUAGUUGCCAACGCGUGAAGGCGGGAACUCUAACGAGACUGCCUGGGUUAACCAGGAGGAAGGUGAGGAUGACGUCAAGUCCGCAUGGCCUUUAUGUCCAGGGCUACACACGUGCUACAAUGGUCGGUACAGAAGGCAGCGAAACCGUAAGGCGGAGCAAAUCCUUUAAAGCCGAUCUCAGUUCAGAUUGUGGACUGCAACUCGUCCACAUGAAGUUGGAAUUGCUAGUAAUGGCGUGUCAGCAACAACGCCGUGAAUACGUUCCCGGGCC
rnacentral:rRNA from 1 species